rnacentral:rRNA from 1 species
GAUGAACGCUAGCUACAGGCUUAACACAUGCAAGUCGAGGGGCAGCAUGGUCUUAGCUUGCUUCAAUUGCCGGCGACCGGCGCACGGGUGAGUAACACGUAUCCAACCUGCCGUCUACUCUUGGACAGCCUUCUGAAAGGAAGAUUAAUACAAGAUGGCAUCAUGAGUCCGCAUGUUCACAUGAUUAAAGGUAUUCCGGUAGACGAUGGGGAUGCGUUCCAUUAGAUAGUAGGCGGGGUAACGGCCCACCUAGUCUUCGAUGGAUAGGGGUUCUGAGAGGAAGGUCCCCCACAUUGGAACUGAGACACGGUCCAAACUCCUACGGGAGGCAGCAGUGAGGAAUAUUGGUCAAUGGGCGAGAGCCUGAACCAGCCAAGUAGCGUGAAGGAUGACUGCCCUAUGGGUUGUAAACUUCUUUAUAAAGGAAUAAGUCGGUAUGCAUACCCGUUGCAUGUACUUAU